UGAUCCUGGCUCAGACUCAAGUCCUACAAGGGAUCCAGUAAAGUUUGAUCAGUGUGAAACGGCUGAGUAACACGGGGGUAACCUGCCCAUCACAAGGGGAUAACACUUGGAAACAGGUGCUAAUACCGUUUUGCUCUAUUUUCCGCAUGGAAUAAAGUGGAAAGGCGCUUUUGCGUCGCUGAUGCAUGGACCCGCGGUGUAUUAGCUACUUGGUGAGGUAACGGAUCUGCAAAGCCACGAUGCACAUCCGACCUGGAACGGAGACCCGGCACACUGGAACUGAGACACAGUCCAAACUCAUACGGGAGGAAGGAGUAAGGAACCUUGGGCAAUGGACCAAAGGCUGACCGACGGACGCCGGAUGAGUGAAGAAGGAUUUCGGAUCGUAAAAGUCUGGUGUUAAAGACUAGCUGGGAUGACAGUAGAACCUUCAUCCCUUGACGGUAUCUAACCACAAAUACCCGCGUAACUACGAGCCAGCAAACGCGUAAAUACGUAGGUGGGACGCGAAGUCCGGAUUUAUUGGGCGUCAAGCGAGCGCAUGUGGCUCCGUAAUUCUGAUGCGAAAGCCCCCCGCUCAUGCUGAGAGGGACAUUGGAAACUGGAAGACUUGAGUGCAGAGUAGGAGAGUGAAAUUCCAUGUGUAGCGGGAACAUGCGUAGAUAUAUGCAAGAACCCCAGUGGACAAUGUGGCUUCUCUAGCUGUGUAUCUGACGCUGAA
rnacentral:rRNA from 1 species